GGGUUGUGAGGUUAAGCGACUAAGCGUACACGGUGGAUGCCCUGGCAGUCAGAGGCGAUGAAGGGCGUGCUAAUCUGCGAUAAGCGCCGGUAAGGUGAUAUGAACCGUUAUAACCGGCGAUACCCGAAUGGGGAAACCCAGUGUGAUUCGUCACACUAUCAUUAACUGAAUCCAUAGGUUAAUGAGGCGAACCGGGGGAACUGAAACAUCUAAGUACCCCGAGGAAAAGAAAUCAACCGAGAUUCCCCCAGUAGCGGCGAGCGAACGGGGAGGAGCCCAGAGCCUGAAUCAGCAUGUGUGUUAGUGGAAGCGUCUGGAAAGUCGCGCGAUACAGGGUGACAGCCCCGUACACAAAAGCGCAUGUGUUGUGAGCUCGAUGAGUAGGGCGGGACACGUGGUAUCCUGUCUGAAUAUGGGGGGACCAUCCUCCAAGGCUAAAUACUCCUGACUGACCGAUAGUGAACCAGUACCGUGAGGGAAAGGCGAAAAGAACCCCGGCGAGGGGAGUGAAAAAGAACCUGAAACCGUGUACGUACAAGCAGUGGGAGCACCCUUUUGGGUGUGACUGCGUACCUUUUGUAUAAUGGGUCAGCGACUUAUAUUCUGUAGCAAGGUUAACCG
rnacentral:rRNA from 2 species